rnacentral:lncRNA from 1 species
UGUAUAUUGAGUGAGUCUGCCUGGUUCUGUUCUGAUUUAUUUGUUUUUUAAGUCGUUUUUGCCAGGCAGGCUUUAAGUGGUGUCUUAUGUUUGUGCCCAGCUUAUUUGGAAAUGUUUUAAGACCUAGAUGUGUAGUGACAGUGGCAGCAGCUGCAUAAAUAAGUGUGUGUAUUUCUAUGAAUGUUGUUUCUGUGUUAAUAAAUUUUGGUAGAAUGUAUAUGUUCAUACAGUGUAGUGUAUUGUUUGACUGUUGUGAGUUAUGAAGUUUAGGAAUGCAUGGAUGUUGCAUGGGAUCUGUACCUGUGAAUUUGGUUAAUGUUUCCUGGAGUAUGUCAGUGAGUUUAUUUAUUAGGUCUGUGUCAGUGUUGUUAACGGGCAAUGUGUUGUCAUCAGUGAAUGUUAUUUCUGGUGUCUGUUCCACUUCGUGUUCUAUUUGUGUGUGUGAAUCAGUUUCAUGUUGUGAUAUUUGUUGUGCUACCUGAAUUUUAAUGUUUUCUAAUGUACUGUGUGGUAUGAGAUUUCUGUAGAUGAUGGUUCUUCUUUAAUCUGCUAUGCGUUGUUC